rnacentral:rRNA from 1 species
UUUCCGUAGGUGAACCUGCGGAAGGAUCAUUAUCGAGUCUUGACCGGGUUGUAGCUGGCCUUCCGAGGCAUGUGCACGCCCUGCUCAUCCACUCUACACCUGUGCACUUACUGUGGGCUUCAGAUCGUAAAGCAGGGCCCUUCACCGGGCUUUGCAGGACGUGUCUGUGCCUGCGUUUAUCACAAACUCUAUAAAGUAUCGGAAUGUGUAUUGCGGUGUAACGCAUCUACAUACAACUUUCAGCAACGGAUCUCUUGGCUCUCGCAUCGAUGAAGAACGCAGCGAAAUGCGAUAAGUAAUGUGAAUUGCGGAAUUCAGUGAAUCAUCGAAUCUUUGAACGCACCUUGCGCUCCUUGGUAUUCCGAGGAGCAUGCCUGUUUGAGUGUCAUGAAAUCAUCAACCUACAAAGCCUUUGCGGUUUUGUAGGCUUGGACUUGGAGGCUUGUCGGCCGUUCUUGGUCGGCUCCUCUUAAAUGCAUUAGCUUGGUUCCUUGCGGAUCGGCUCUCGGUGUGAUAAUGUCUACGCCGCGACCGUGAAGCGUUUGGCAAGCUUCUAACGGUCUCAGUUGGAGACAGCUUUAUGACCUCUGACCUCAAAUCAGGUAGGACUACCCGCUGAACUUAAGCAUAUCAAUAAGCGGAGGA